GUGAUCCCGAUGACUUAUGAAAGUGACGUCACUACGUCGUCACGGCCACUCGGCCGUUUAGCAUUUGAUUCAAGAGGUAAAAAACUUUAAAAAACUGAGCUAAAAUGAUAAAACACGUUUGUGUAUUCAAAUGAUUCGGAAAGAAUUCACACUUAAGUUUUUAUAAACUGCGAAGAAUAAAGAGAAGAGCAGCAAAUUGAUCUCUUUGGCGGGACAACUGGAAUCCAGUUCCCAGGCAGUCCUGGCUGCUGGCCUGCCGCUGCUGCUUACUGACAGAGUCUGGACAGCAGGGGAGGGUAGAGUAUUCCUCGAGGGGGCUAGGACGCUUCCAGCUGGGCUAUUGAGGUGUGGAGCUGGCCUCGGGGUAAGCCUCUCUUACUCUCUUCGAGGGAAAAUUCCCUGUUUCUCCGUUUCCCAUCGUCUGACUCGUAACUCAAAAAGGCACACUUUAUUACACUUUGGAGGUUCCAGGCAGCACUGGAUGAUUUACCCAAACAGCAUGAAGGAACACAAAGCAGUGCAUAAUGUGCAAUCUGAUAAGUGUUCUCUUGCGUGCGCCAGGCCCCCCCUCCUUCAUCGUCCUAUACAUCACUGGCUGGCUCAGCUGUGGUUUGCGAGAGGAGAACUCUGGGAUUGGUGUGGCUGAAGUUGAUGAAUAGGCCUGCGAGGGUGAGAAACUCCAGGGCCAAGCUGUAGGUCCAUCCCCAUGGCAUGUGAUGCUGAUUGGCUUUGUCCUGUGCGGCCGCUCUGGAGAAGCGGACAUUAAGAUUAAGUGAUGCUGUCGUGUCGGGGAGCAGUGUACUGCAUCAUCCUGGGGAAGAGACAGCUGCGGUGGUUAAUCCUUCAUCACCAGGGGAGCGCUGCCAGAGCAGAGAUAUACAGCCAAAGAUAACCCUCCAUAACUUCUGCUAAAGAUCAGAAACUUUGAGUUCGCAUCCAUCUGUCCUCAAUCCUCACUUAAAGAUGAGAAAUGAGCAGCGGCAGUGCUGCAGACAGUGGAAAACAAAUGGAGCAAAUAACAUCAAGAUGAGGUGAAUGUUUUAGUGAGAGGUAAUCCCUCUAACUAACCGCAAGUAAAAACCUCUCGUUGUGCAGCACAUACUGUAGCUUCUGUGAGUGGAGGGAGAAGAAACAAGAGCAAACAAAUAGAAAUCCAUUUACACAGCUUCUGCAAUCACUCUCGUGUCAGUGGCUAACUGACAGAAGUGUACUUUAUCACACAUUUUGGGGUUGUGGGAAUUCCCAGUAGAUGGAAAAUCUAGCUUAAACAGAGAAAAAAAGCCACUCAGAGCAGAGCUAAAGUGGUCUGUAUUUAUGUGUCUGCGCGUGGCGUCAGCAUAUUUUAGAUUGCUGGGUUUGCAUGUUUGUUGUUGGUUUGAUGUAGCUGUCAUGAUGUGAUGGAUGAACAUCAUCAUGUAAAGAGUAAAAGGAGAGGUCUGAGCUGCAAGAGAAAGCCGACAUGUUAUAUUGCCCAGGAUGUCCUGAAAAGACAUUACAGCAGGAUCAAUCUCUUUCUAUCCACUUCACCCUCUCCACAGCCCAAAGCCAGCCUGCUUGAACUUUUGAAUAUGGUAAUUUCCUCAAGAAAGCCUCUCCGAGAUCCUGUGGGAUGAUAUAUUUGGUGUGGCGGAGGCAUACCUGCAGAGAGCACUUGUGACAGUGACAUAUUAGUUACGGUGUCUCUUGGAAUCUGAUAACUUCAAAUUUGCCACCUUGUUAAGUUUUGAUUUAUGUGAUACCAUUUCACUAAAGUAAUUGGCCUGGCCUGUUGUAGAAAAUAAUCAGCCUCUCUGCAGAACAAAUACUGGGCCAUGCUAAUGAGGCAGCCCGAGUGCUGAACUGAUGCUGCCGACUGACAGUUAUUAAUGAUUGUUAUGAUAUACAGAAGAGUUGAGAUUGGUCUGAGUUGGGUGAAAAAAAGUGACAUUUAAAAAAUACAGCAUAUUGGGAAGUACUAAUGAAGUAAUAUACUGCUAGGAAAACAAUAAUGUGCGUUGUCAAGGCAAUGUGUAAUUACCCAGCAGCCAUUCUGGCUGGCUGUUUGGCAGGCAGGCUGGGGGGAGAGCUGAACAACCUGGCCGGUAAUGGAUGGAGCUCUGCUGGCAGGGGGCUAAAAUGCACUAGGCAGUGACAGAGGUGUACAGAUUGAUGAAUUAAUUGGGUAUUUCUUGGGACAUAAGGGGAACCGCUGUGGCAUAUGCUCGGCUUGUUACUUUGGAAAGUCUACUGACCCUGAAAGUGAAGCCAUCCCACGCAGGGAGUUGUUGCUUUUUUAUUGCUCUUUCCUGGGGGGUUGAAUUGCACACACAAAUGUUCAGUCAACUGCAAUUUGUUACAAUUUGAUAAAGGUAUACUGUAAGUAGUGCUGAAUAGGGCUGGCCGAUAAUUCAAUAUUAUCGACUUUCAUUGGAAAUAUAUGAUGCCGUUCUCUUAUUAUGUUAUAAUUCUAUUAAUUUCUGUUGUCAAAGUGAAUGAUUCAGAGGCAGAAGCUGCAAUUAAAACUUACAAAAUCAGUUAUUAAAGUUUUUAUUUCUGGAAACUGGAUCAUAGUUUAUUUCUUUGAACAUUAGUUUGACAAAGGUCGUGCACACCAGAAAGUCUUAGGGUCGAGUUAUGCUCGAACAGAACUAGUUCAUAAGACACAUUUUCCGUCCACGUUGGAAAUCAGAAGUGUUUAUAGUUGAUCCGAAGGGCCACACUUGAAGGCAGAGUGAUAACCAUAGAGGGGGGGGAGAAGCGGUAUCGUUUGAAUAUGGGGAUAACACAUUUUCAGACAGUCGGGUAAAAUUUGUUCAUGGUUUUUCUGAUGAAGGUCUGAGGACCGAAACAUCGUAAAUAAAGUGUUUUAUUUGUGAUUGAGUGAUCGACAGUGUGGGAUUUCUUGCUUCUUUCAUAAGGGAUUUUCUGAUUGACUGUGAUUUUCAACUGACAAAAACUUAGUGUAGAUCCAAACAAAACACAUGAAUGGUGGAUCAAAGAGUCUCAUAAAUGACAUCACCAUCCUCCUGACCGGUCAAACUCUAUCGUCCACCCGCAGCCACUUGCAGAGGUCUGCACAUAGUUGCCAUUUAAUCACGGCGCUGCGACACCCCUCUGUCAAAUCUCUCAAACGUUCUUACUUAGCGCUGACUCCCGCUGAGUGAGAAUGAAAGUUCUCACAGCUGCUUACUAUCACUGUGGUCUUACUUCAGCAAGUGCCCAUUGGCUGCAAUCGCUCCUCCUAGCUCAUCUCCCAUCAAGCCGGUGCAUUAAGGCCGACUGCCGACCGCAUCAGUGGGCCUCCUCAGCCCGCAGAGAGUCCCAGGCCCAUCACCACGAAUUAAACCAGAGGCUCUGGUAGUGGCGCUGCUUUUGGUGCCACUGAGCAUUACACUGACACA